rnacentral:rRNA from 1 species
CCUACGGGUGGCAGCAGUGAGGAAUAUUGGUCAAUGGCCGUAAGGCUGAACCAGCCAAGUAGCGUGAAGGAAGAAGGAUCUAUGGUUUGUAAACUUCUUUUAUAGGGGAAUAAAGGUAUCCACGUGUGCAUAUUUGCAUGUACCCUAUGAAUAAGCAUCGGCUAACUCCGUGCCAGCAGCCGCGGUAAUACGGAGGAUGCGAGCGUUAUCCGGAUUUAUUGGGUUUAAAGGGUGCGUAGGGGGAAUGCCAAGUCAGCGGUAAAAUCUCGGGGCUCAACCUAGCUCCGCCGUUGAAACUGGGGGUCUUGAGUGGGCGAGAGGUAGGGGGAAUGCGUGGUGUAGCGGUGAAAUGCAUAGAUAUCACGAAGAACUCCGAUUGCGAAGGCAGCAUACCGGCGCCCAACUGACGCUGAAGCACGAAAGCGUGGGUAUCGAACAGGAUUAGAUAUCCGAGUAGUC